UACGGGGGGGGCAAGCGUUGUUCGGAAUUACUGGGCGUAAAGGGCUCGUAGGUGGCCAACUAGGUCGGACGUGAAAUCCCUCGGCUUAACCGGGGAACUGCGUCCGAUACUGGUUGGCUUGAGUUUGGGAGAGGGAUGCGGAAUUCCAGGUGUAGCGGUGAAAUGCGUAGAUAUGACAUAGAACACCAAUUGCGAAGGCAGCUGGCUACACAAAUAUUGACACUGAGGCACGAAAGCGUGGGGAUCAAACAGG
rnacentral:rRNA from 1 species